AUUGAACGCUGGCGGCAUGCCUUACACAUGCAGGUCGAACGGUAACAGGUCUUCGGAUGCCGACGAGUGGCGAACGGGUGAGUAAUACAUCGGAACGUGCCUAGUAGUGGGGAAUAACUACUCGAAAGAGUGGCUAAUACCGCAUGAGAUCUACGGAUGAAAGCAGGGGAUCGCAAGACCUUGUGCUACUAGAGCGGCCGAUGGCAGAUUAGGUAGUUGGUGGGAUAAAAGCUUACCAAGCCGACGAUCUGUAGCUGGUCUGAGAGGACGAUCAGCCACACUGGGACUGAGACACGGCCCAGACUCCUACGGGAGGCAGCAGUGGGGAAUUUUGGACAAUGGGCGCAAGCCUGAUCCAGCAAUGCCGCGUGCAGGAUGAAGGCCUUCGGGUUGUAAACUGCUUUUGUACGGAACGAAAAGCCCUGGGUUAAUACCCUGGGGUCAUGACGGUACCGUAAGAAUAAGCACCGGCUAACUACGUGCCAGCCGCCGCCGUAA
rnacentral:rRNA from 1 species